rnacentral:rRNA from 1 species
UAAGGAAUAUUGCUCAAUGGGAGAAAUCCUGAAGCAGCAACGCCGCGUGGAGGAUGAAGGGUCUAUGACUUGUAAACUCCUGUAAAGAAGGAAAAAAUUCCCAUUAGAUGGGAGAUGAUGGUACUUCUGGAGUAAGCCCCGGCUAACUACGUGCCAGCAGCCGCGGUAAUACGUAGGGGGCAAGCGUUGUCCGGCUUUACUGGGUGUAAAGGGUGCUCAGGCGGAUUUGUAAGUCAGAGGUGAAAUCUUACAGCUUAACUGUGAAACUGCCUUUGAUACUGCAAGCCUAGAGUAUGGAAGAGAGUGAUGGAAUAUCUGGUGUAGCAGUGAAAUGCGUAGAUAUCAGAUAGAACACCAAUGGCGAAGGCAGUCACUUGGUCCAUUACUGACGCUAAAGCACGAAAGCGUGGGUAGCAAACA